rnacentral:rRNA from 1 species
CCUACGGGUGGCAGCAGUGAGGAAUAUUGGUCAAUGGGCGCGAGCCUGAACCAGCCAAGUAGCGUGAAGGAUGACUGCCCUACGGGUUGUAAACUUCUUUUAUAAAGGAAGAAAAUGUGGCACGUGUGCCUUGUUGUAUGUACUUUAUGAAUAAGGAUCGGCUAACUCCGUGCCAGCAGCCGCGGUAAUACGGAGGAUCCGAGCGUUAUCCGGAUUUAUUGGGUUUAAAGGGAGCGUAGAUGGGUUGUUAAGUUAGUUGUUAAAGUUUGCGGCUCAACCUUAAAAUUGCAAUUGAUACUGGCAGUCUUGAGUACAGUCGAGGUAGGCGGAAUACGUGGUGUAGCGGUGAAAUGCUUAGAUAUCACGUAGAACUCCGAUUGCGAAGGCAGCUUACUAAACUGCGACUGACACUGAUGCUCGAGAGUGUGGGUAUCAAACAGGAUUAGAUACCCUUGUAGUC